UGGGGUGUGGCCAAGUUGGUAAGGCACCGGGUUUUGGUCCCGGCAUUCGUGGGUUCAAGUCCUACCACCCCAGCCA
rnacentral:tRNA from 1 species